rnacentral:rRNA from 1 species
GCUUACGGCCAUACCAGCCUGGGUACGCCCGAUCUCGUCUGAUCUCGCAAGCUAAGCAGGGUCGGGCCUGGUUAGUACUUGGAUGGGAGACCGCCUGGGAAUACCAGGUGCUGUAAGCA